rnacentral:RNase_P_RNA from 1 species
AGAAGCAGGCAAGAUGGCCGCUUCGUAGACUGCACAUAUGUGCAUUCUACGGAGAGGAAAGUCCGAGCCCCAUAGGAUACAGUGCUCCGUAACACGGAGUGGGAGUAAUCCCAAGGAAAGUGCCACAGAAAAUAUACCGCCCGCCUGAGGUGGGUAAGGGUGAAAAGGUGGGUCCGCUGAUUAAGACGGAUUAAUGUAAGAGCCCACCGCUCUCUGAGUGAUUGGAGAGGCAUGGUAAACCCCACUGGGAGAAAGGCUAAAUAGGGAGGAAUAAGGCGAUCCGCUUUUUAAACCUCCGGGUAAGCCGCUUGAUUCCGAUGGUAACAUCGGAACUAGAUUAAUGGUCAUCAAAAACAGAACUCGGCUUAUAGCCUGCUUCUGACC